rnacentral:rRNA from 1 species
UACGGAGGGGGCUAGCGUUGUUCGGAUUCACUGGGCGUAAAGGGUGCGUAGGUGGCCGGGUAAGUCUGACGUGAAAUCUCCGAGCCUAACUCGGAAACUGCAUCGGAUACUAUCCGGCUUGAGGGUUGGAGGGGGGACUGGAAUACUUGGUGUAGCAGUGAAAUGCGUAGAUAUCAAGUGGAACACCAGUGGCGAAGGCGAGUCCCUGGACAACUCCUGACACUGAGGCACGAAAGCUAGGGGAGCAAACAGG